rnacentral:rRNA from 1 species
UACGUAGGGUGCAAGCGUUGUCCGGAAUUAUUGGGCGUAAAGAGCUCGUAGGCGGUUUGUCGCGUCUGCUGUGAAAACCCGAGGCUCAACCUCGGGCCUGCAGUGGGUACGGGCAGACUAGAGUGCGGUAGGGGAGAUUGGAAUUCCUGGUGUAGCGGUGAAAUGCGCAGAUAUCAGGAGGAACACCAGCGGCGAAGGCGCCGCUCUGGGCCGUAACUGACGCUGAGGAGCGAAAGCAUGGGUAGCAAACAGG